GGAGAGGUGGCCGAGUGGUUUAAGGCGCCGCUCUCGAAAAGCGGUGUGCCGCAAGGCACCGUGGGUUCAAAUCCCACCCUCUCCGCCA
rnacentral:tRNA from 1 species